rnacentral:lncRNA from 1 species
AAGUUGUUAAUAAUUUAAUUAAUAUAUAUGGUUUAAAUAUUAAAUUUUGUUUAAUUAAUAUGUAUGAUUUAAACUUUAAUUUUUUUUUUCGUAAAUAUUUUGAAUGAAUUUUAUAUUAGGUUACUGAUAAAUGAAUUCGGAUAUUCGGAUAUCCGAAUAAUUUGUCUAUUCGGAUAAAAUAAACGGUAACGGAUAUUAUCCGUAUUCGAAUAUUUUUCCGAAUACCGGAUACGGAUAAUAUUUUUAAAAUCCGCCGGAUACCGGAUACGGAUAGCGAAUUGAUUUUCCGAAUACGGAUACGGAUAUACCUGUUUCCGUAUCCGUUUAAUACCGUUUACACCCCUAAUAAGGGCUUUGCCUAUAACCAAUCACAGUAUCAUAAAACAUCACUUACUCCCAAUUGGAUAAAAUAAAAAACUCAACUAAUUGAUCUCAGUUUAAUUGAAACAAGAAGGUUUGAUUAUUAUAUCGUGGCAUUUGCUUGCUAAUUAAAUUCGCACUUGGUCUAGAAUGGGUAGCUUGGAUUUGGCCGGACGGUGAGGGGAGAAGAAGGGGAGGAGAGACCGAGUAUUUAUAGGCAAAUCACCUUGCCUUCCACGAAAAUUUCUUGGUCCCUAAGCCUUUUGGGGCGCAGGGCUUCCACCACCGAAUCGCCACCUCCUGCUUCAUCUCUCCAUCUCUACCAGCUCCUGCUCUUUCUUCUUCCCCUUUUUCCGAAAUUGCCCUAACUGCUAUAUUGUUCCUUCCUUUUUUUUUUCCCAAUUCGGCGGUUAUAUGGCCAAAGGCUAUGUUUGGUUGGCGUAAUUUAUUAAUCCUCUAGUUAGGUUUUUA